CAGCAGCCGCGGUAAUACGAAGGGGGCUAGCGUUAAUCGGAAUUACUGGGCGUAAAGCGUGCGCAGGCGGUUUGUUAAGACAGAUGUGAAAUCCCCGGGCUCAACCUGGGAACUGCAUUUGUGACUGGCAAGCUAGAGUAUGGCAGAGGGGGGUGGAAUUCCGCGUGUAGCAGUGAAAUGCGUAGAUAUGCGGAGGAACACCGAUGGCGAAGGCAAUCCCCUGGGCCUGUACUGACGCUCAUGCACGAAAGCGUGGGGAGCAAACAGGAUUAGAUACCCCGGUAGUCCCUGUCUCUUAUAC
rnacentral:rRNA from 1 species